rfam:Ictidomys tridecemlineatus contig038079, whole genome shotgun sequence.
GUAAUUGUUGUAUUCUGCUACCUUUCCUACUAUCCCCCUAAGGUUGAUCUGGCUGGCUAGGCGGAUGUCCCCUUCCUCCCUCACCGGUCCACGUGCGUCCCUCCCGAAGCUGCGCGCUUGGUGGAAGAGAACGACCUUCCCCGAUAGAGGAGGACCAGUCUUCAGUCAAGGGUAUACGAGUAGCUGGGCUCCCCUGCUAGAACCUCCAAACAAGCUCGCAAGACUUACUAUUGUUGGGAAUAGUGCCAUAUGCCUAUAAUCCCAGGGACUUAG